GACGAACGCUGGCGGCGUGCUUAACACAUGCAAGUCGAACGGUAAGGCCCUUCGGGGUACACGAGUGGCGAACGGGUGAGUAACACGUGGGUGAUCUACCCUGCACUUCGGGAUAAGCCUGGGCAACUGGGUCUAAUACCGGAUAGGACUCCUGGCUUCAUGGUUGGGGGUGGAAAGCUUUUGCGGUGUGGAAUGGGCCCGCGGCCUGUCAGCUUGUUGGUGGGGUAAGGGCCUACCAAGGCGACGACGGGUAGCCGGCCUGAGGGGGUGACCGGUCACACUGGGACUGAGAUACGGCCCAGACUCCUACGGGAGGCAGCAGUGGGGAAUAUUGAACAAUGGGCGCAAGCCUGAUGCAGCGACGCCGCGUGAGGGAUGACGGCCUUCGGGUUGUAAACCUCUUUCAGCUAUGACGAAGCGCAAGUGACGGUAGUAGCAGAAGAAGGACCGGCCAACUACGUGCCAGCCGCCGCAGUAA
rnacentral:rRNA from 1 species